rnacentral:rRNA from 1 species
GAUGAACGCUGGCGGCGUGCCUAAUACAUGCAAGUCGAGCGAACGGACGAGAAGCUUGCUUUUCUGAUGUUAGCGGCGGACGGGUGAGUAACACGUGGAUAACCUACCUAUAAGACUGGGAUAACUUCGGGAAACCGGAGCUAAUACCGGAUAAUAUUUUGAACCGCAUGGUUCAAAAGUGAAAGACGGUCUUGCUGUCACUUAUAGAUGGAUCCGCGCUGCAUUAGCUAGUUGGUAAGGUAACGGCUUACCAAGGCAACGAUGCAUAGCCGACCUGAGAGGGUGAUCGGCCACCCUGGAACUGGGACACGGUCCAGACUCCUACGGGAGGCAGCAGUAGGGAAUCUUCCGCAAUGGGCGAAAGCCUGACGGAGCAACGCCGCGUGAGUGAUGAAGGUCUUCGGAUCGUAAAACUCUGUUAUUAGGGAAGAACAUAUGUGUAAGUAACUGUGCACAUCUUGACGGUACCUAAUCAGAAAGCCACGGCUAACUACGUG